CCUGUAUAAUUGCCUCCUGUGCUUGCUAGUGUCUGCUGUGCGGUCGAGAAGUAGCAUGUUGGUUCACACACAGCAGACACGGAAAUAUGCACGCACAUAUCAGCAUGCCGUCUCUGGAAAAGGUCAUUAAAGCGCAAAACGACAUGGUUACCCAGCGUCAAGACUCCGUAGCUUGGAAACAUGAGGCUGGUGAUGUAAGACGCUCUCUGAACUUUAAUAGGCAUCGCCUGACCCCAAAAAAAAAAAAAAAAUCACGCUAUUUUGGGUAUUUUAAGGCAUGUUGCUUGUGGAGAUCUUAGUUAGGCAGCAUAUUUGAUGAAGAGAGAGCAAUAAUGAAUUUCAUAGACUCUGGGCUUGAGAGGCUUGAUAGAAAAAUGCAUAUCCAAAAUGCAUCUACAUGGUUUAAAGCUUGUUUUUCUAUAACCUGUGGCACAUUGGAGAAAUAAAAUGACACUAAAAAAAACAGCAAAAAGGCUAACCGUAAAGAGAUGAAGAAUCCCAAAAAUGGAAAAGUUGCUGAGUGUCAACAAAGGAGAGAUAACCUGACAUUAUGUUGUGUUAGCAGAAAGCUGCCAGAAUGGAACAACUGGCUCUGUCAAGUGUUGGCAGGUCUGACUGACUACACACAGACAGACGCAACCCAUAGAGACAUAAUUAGCAAUGACAGGCUUGAAGAAGAUACCUUGCUUGGUAAAAUUAAAAGAGAGCAGCCAAAUAGAUUAUGCUGGAAAUAGUUUGGCAUCGCAGCUCUUUGUAAGCAAAAGCCAUUGAACGACCACAUCAUGCUGACACUGCAGUCAAAGGAUUUCUCAGAAGUUCAAACAUAAAAAAGCAAAAUAAAAGAAGCUACUAAUGAGCAUUCUUGUUUACGUGGAAGCUAAAUGAAAGGGCAAAUUACUUUAAGAAAGUCAUCUGUUCAAUGAAAGUCAUAAAUCACCGUAGUUACCAGUUAUUUUCCCCAAAAAGUAGGGAUAUCCCAUAAAAUCCGCCGACCAAUAUUAUCAACCAAAAAUCACGUAGUCACAUAACACAAAAUAAUAAGCGAUUGGAGCCCAGUUUAUAAUUUAAUUGACUGUAUUAGUCCGGUUUCAAACUUUACUUUGCAUUUUACUUUGUUCUUACAUGGAUGUUUGUGCCACAUAGAAAUGUGCAUUUUCAAAUGAUAUUAGUGCCGGCAUAAUUUAAUUGGAUUUCCAUUUGUGAAUGCAUUAAAUCUAAUCUGUCCUGUUUACUGUCAGGCAAACUGAUCCAGUCAUGGCAUCAUACAUGCUGAUGAAUAACACUAAAGUUCCGAAGGUAUGUUUACCAUACAGCAACAACAGAUUAACAUACAGUACAUGCAAGCACAUACAUCAAGCACAGAAAACAUCUAUGGGACGGUUGCUGAAAUAACUAACAUGGAACUGUUAAGAACUGCAUUUUUAAAAAGUGAAAGGACAGUAAGGAAACUCAGUAAGGAUAAGUAUACAAGAUCUUGGCGAAAACUGAAUGCAACACAGAACAGAAAUGAACUGAAGUGGGAGAGAGAGUCAGUAUUUUUGUGAGUCUUGAGUCAAGUCUCAAGUAAACAUGUGCAAGUCCAAGAAGAGUGGAGUCAAGUCUGAAGACAUAGGCUAGAAAGGUUUGAGUCCUUGCAUCUCAGAAGCCAGAAUCACUAAUGCCAAAGUCCAAGUCGUAAGUCAAGUCAAGUCCAAAGUCAUUACAAUUUGCGUCAGUCAAGUCGAAUGUGACAUUGCAGAAUCUUGUUUCCCGAAAUCAAAGUUAAAGGUAGUCCAACCAAAUAUUUGCAUAUGUGACCUUUUUAUGGCCUAUGGGAGUGUAGUACCCAUUCAUAAAGAAACAGAAAAACAUAAUGCAUGCAUGCCAGGCCAGUAAUUGGCCAUGUCCCUAAGUACAGGAGCACACUUGCUUUGUUUUCUUUCUUCUUUUUUGAGUUAAAACCCUGUUCCAAUUAUCCACUGCAAUAGAAGAACUAAGGGUCCAUCAUAAAAAAAAGUGUAGAAUUAUAUAACCUUGUCAUCAUGAUAGAUCAGCUGUGACGACGUCCAGUGAGGUGGUUAUUGGUACUUUUGUGGCUAUUGGCGCCAGAAAAAGGCUUAGCCUGUGUCUCUCAGCCAAGCUGACGAGCAGGACACAAGGGGUAAUUAUUGGGAGACAUUUGAGACAGAUGGCACAGAUCGGACCGGCGGUCAGUCUAGUUGUCCUGCUAGCCAGGUUCCAGAAAAAGACUGUGCGGGCAGCCACACAGACGACUGUUUACAUGUGCACGUUUGUGCAUGUUUGUUUGUGUGCAUACAUGGAUUUGGUUUGUGUCAAGUCUCGGAAGAUGCUUUGCAAUGGUGGAGAGGUGUCGGUAUGUGUGUGUUGGGGGGUUUUGGAGGUUUGUGUUCACAGGGUUGAAGUGAGACAAGUUGCAUUGAUGGGGACCAGACAGCAAUGGUUUGCUAAUAAGGGAACUUUGUUUAUGUUAGGUGAUAUAAAUGUAGUACUUUGUAGGGCACUCCUGUUUAUCUGUUCAUAAGGAAAGGACUUAAAACUAAUCAAAUGGGUUUUAUGAUCAUCUUAGUAUGAGCGUUAAAUUAAUAAUAUAUUGAUAUAAUACAUUCCCACCCGCAAAUGGCAAAAAAAAUGACAGCAAUGGAGAUGCAAACCAUCCUGCCAGCUUGAUAUUGACUCUCCUUGUAUUUCAUAUUAACAUUUGCGAUAAACGUAAUUCUUAUUUUAGAUUAGAUUCAGCUCCAAAAUGUCUCACAUCCUUAUUAAACUCUAAUCACCUCUAAUGAGUGCAAUUUGAUCGAUGAACAGAUUUGCAGUCACGGUGCAGCCUUUAGCCUGGUCAACAGGCUAAUGCUCGAGGCUAGCAAGCGCGAGACGGUGUUUCUCCAAAGCGCCUCUAAUUGUCUCAUGGGAUUUAAUUGGUUUAGCAUGAGUAUAGUUGCAUAGGUAUAGAUGUGUGUUGAACUACAGGAUCUAUCUUUCACUUACACCUCUGACAGCAGCUAUGGUGUGUUCACUGACCGAAGUGCGAAAGUGCGAAAUCUCAGCGUUUGAGGAAAAAACAUCGAAAGUGCAUAAAGACAUAAACUUGUAACAAUUGUGGUUUUUCUUAACAGUGAUACAUGUAUGCUGAACAGUAUUAUCAUCUAUUUAUCAAUUAGUAUGACUUUGGGUGAAUAUUUUCUGUGGGAAAAAAACACAUAAAAACCUAUGAAUUUGUGGGGUUGCGAUAUGCCAGAAUUCACUGCAUAGUUUUUUUAAAUAUAUUUAAUUAUAUAUAAAAAAAAAUAAUUCUAUUAUUAUUGUCUCUCAUUGCCGAUUACCACUACCUUAUGACGAUUCUUUCCCCUAAAAAUGACUAUUUCAUGUAUUUUUCUACAUUUUUCAAACAGUUCUCCCUUUCAAAUUAUAUGUGGUCCAAAUGUCAAGAGUUUCUUAACACACAUUGUGAGAAGGAUCUUGUAUUCUGGGUCAGACAUUAAUAAUACACUCCCUUCGGGCUAUUUUAAAGACACGCAUUGAGGCCCAUUCAGCCAAUGGGGGCAGACAGUUCUGGUGGACAGUUAGGUUUGGCAAAUGCCGCACUGAACAAAUGUCAUGCCAAGUGUGGUCGCAGUAACGGUAGCAGUUGUGGUUACCAUUCCCGAGAAGGAUGGAACAGCCGUCCAGGCAUUGGAGCAACCGUUCCGCAAAAGGAAGUGUUCACCGACCACACUUUUCCAUCCCUUUCAUAGCUAAACACAUGUGCGUCCGUGCACGUGCCUGCUCUCUCUCUCACACACACACACACACACACACAUGCUGACUCACUCACCUGUAGGCGUUUUGAUCAAACGCCUCAGCAGAAGUGAAUCCCAGCAUGCCGCAGACGACAUUGCUGCUGGUGAGGUCCCAGCCGUGACUGCACACAUGACGCCAUUUCCCAGCGUACUUCACUUCCAGCACUCCUUCGUUCACCAAGCCGCCGCGGCUGCCGGACAGCACGGCUUUGAGGCGAGCCUCGGUCAGCUGAACGCUGUCAGAACUCUGUCACAGAACAUUUGAAAAGGUGGCGUAAGGAUUUAUAGGGUGCUGCGUUUAUUCUCAACAGACUUUUAAUUUGAAAGGGCUUACAGUAUAGCUUGGAGACACCAAAGCUUAAACAGGAAACUUUGGGUUGAACAUUUAAAAAUGCUAGCGUAAAGAUUCUGAUUCUUGAUACAGUCAAACGCCCCACUAUGAUUCGGUUGAGAAGUACAGAUGUAAAAGUCAAGGGUGCUAAGACAGUACUUUGGAGGAUACCUAUGAGAGUAUAGUGUGUUUUACCUGGAUGGAGUGGGAAUCAGUCACGGGAUAAACAGGCUCUGGUUCGACAUGAUUCCCGCUGUACGGUUGAUGCCUCUCAGACUGCCUGUUGGUCUCUCGCUCAGCCUGGCGUCUUGAUGCAGGCGUUCCGCUCCUCGACGUGUCCUGCUCCUGUCUUUGGGUUGUACCGGCCGCCGGUCUCGAUAUCUGUGCUGUUGGGCCACGAUACCGUCGCAAGAUCUGUAUCUCGUGACCGUUCUCCUGCGGUGAGAUCCUGUUGCGACGGGAAGUGGGUGGGUUGCGAUGGAGCGCGAUCUCGUGACCUCGGCCGUAAGACGAGGGAAUGUGAGGUGGGGCUGGUGGUGGGUUCUCUGACUGCUGCUGCGGGGGUCUCUGUCUUGAUUGUCUCGGCUCAUUUCUGGAGGAGGAACGAGCGUCCCCUCCUGAAGCAGAGGAGAAACCAGGCCUUCUUUCUGGGCUACAAAUGAUCCCCAGGUCCUCAACGUGGGUGCAGUCGUGGACUCCCCAACCGUUUGAGCCACAUUCUGCAAUAGAGAGCUCAGUGCCUCUGCAGUUCACAUUAUCCAACCAGAUCUGACCUAAGAAAGAGAAAGCGAGAGGACAAUUUGACACAAACUGGACGGAGAGUAUCUUUCCCGACUAUCUGACCGAUACGUACCUUGCCCCUGACCAAACCUGGCACUGGGCGCCCAGGUGAAACUCUGUUGAAAGCCCAACUGUCUACACACUACGUUAGCCAGGUUGAGAUUCACCUGGUCGUCACACACCGUGCCCCAUACGCCGUUGUACAACACCUCCAGACGCCCUUCGUUGACUUUGCGACUCCCUGCAAGCCGCACCUGCACCUCCUGCGCAGAUAACUCAGCGGGGUAGAGAAAAAGCAGCAGGAGGAGAGCGGAUAAGGAGCUGAGGAACAGCAUCCUGGAGGAAGCAAAGUGUAACGAGGAGAAGAGAAGCAAUGUCAGAUUAGGAUGAGAUGAGGAACGUCAAGGAGCUAUGCUUGAAUAAAAACACCACAAAAUUCCCUUGAAAUCAUGCAAAUGAUGCCAUAUUGACAUUCUUUCCUUUGACAGAGCGUAUAAUUAGAAACUGCGCCUCUUUCCCUAAUGUGGCAUUCCGAGGCGGAGCAAAGGAUUUAUAGGUGUUUUUUAAAAACUUUAUUGAUAGUCAAAGUUGUUUAAAGGAGAGUGGGAAACUUGAGAAACUGUGAAAAAAGAACAGUUUGAACCAAUGGAAGCGGCGCUAAAAGUAGCGCAGUUAUCCAGCCAAAGGAAACUUUGGCUUUCCGCAAACCCUCUAGUUUGGCUGCACACUUUUAGCACGCAGACACAAAAGCAAAUAAACACCGUCGUGAAAUUGUAGUAAACACCAGGUAUGCAUCUGGUCAAUGGGCAAUUGUGACAGGAAACUCUAAAAGAGGUCAAAGUUCUAUUUGCAGUUUACUUGCGGAAUCAUCUAUCGCCUGCAGCAUUCAAAGACCGCAUAUGCACGUUUAGCAUAAUUCACCUUUCGAGACGUUUGGAUUAAUGUCGUUAAAAAGUAGUAGUCCCUGAAGACGCACAGUGAAGACAUUAAAGAGCAAAAAAAGGAUGAAGAUGAACUCCUACCUGUUGUUCUCAACCUGGAGUCAGUGGGAGAGAAGGAGUGAGGGAGCACUGGAGGAAAAAAAAAGCAGUGACUUUGCUCCUGCUGUCCCUCUAUCCUCCUCAUCUCCCUCCCUCUUUUCUUUUCUGUCACUCCCUCACAUGAGAGAUUUUAUCCAUCCCUCCCAUUUGCCUCAUUACACUUAUUCUCAUUUAUCCAAAUGGUUACAUAUUAUUACAUAUUGAGAUGUGACACCCCAUAACUCAACUACUGUAUAACCCAACAAGUGUAUAUAUUAUACAUGUAUUCAUGCUAUUCUUUUGCAGGUAGUUGACGCUCCCUCCCGCCCUUUCAGGCUAGUCACAUGAUCCGAGUACACCGAGUGGCCUUUACACAUGAUGUCCUUCUCCAGCGCCAUGCGGGACUCCUCCAGCUGGGACAGUGAUCGCCGAGCAUCGCUCAGCUGCUGCUGCAGAGAUUCCAACGUGGCGCCGAUCUGCUUCACCUCUUUUUCCAAGCUGCACACAAAACAGCUCCAUGUUGGCUCUGAGAGAGCGACGGUACAACCUGGACUCAACUACUCUCUGCGGGGCAUCUUUGUCCUGGAUGGCCUUCUGGAGAGCCACUAUGUUCCUCUCCUGAGCUCCAAUCUGCUCCAAAGUCUACACACACACACGAUGCAUAGAAUCCAAAACAAUCUGGGUGUUAUUGUGUGUGUGUGUGACCUCCUCUACCUGCUUAAGCUUCACUUCCAGUUGGAUCUUAGCGUCCAUCUGCUCUGCACAGCGUUGCAGGAAGGCUUGGUCUACAUUGUAGCACUGGACCCUCAGGUCUUUAGUGGUAUCCAGUAGCACCUGCUCCGCUAGCUCUCUGACAGGCACACGAAACAGCAUUUAGUACCUAAGACCUAAAACAUCGAAAUCCGAUCCAAACCAUGCCCGGACCUGAGAUUAUGUGUGGCCUUUUCCUCCCUCAGUGCCUUGUUGAUGUUGUUUUGUGUGAACUUGACCCAUGAUGGGAUGUUAGACAUCCUGCAAGACCACAACAACAUGAACGCCUCAAAGUGGUAGUAAUGUUGAUGAUACUGCAUGUUGUGCUACUCACUGCGCCAACAUGGAGGCCGAGACGGCGUGAUGCUGCGUGUCUGUGCUCUUGUUGUUGUAUCUUCCGCACUGGUCGUCCAACGCGUAGGCCUCGUACUUAUCUGACCAAUCGAACUCCAACGUCUGCUUGACCUCUCUGUUCGUCCUGACAACCAAAAGACACUAGUCGCUUCUCUGAACUCUGAGAAACACCAACAAGCUUUUUUAACUUUUCAAUAAUGUCUUUUGUACUUCAUGUUUAAUACACAGGAGUCAUUCAAUUUCAAAAGAAGUUUUUAAAAUAAUGCUCUAGUAUUGUUUUAGUGUUUUAACCAGAUGUCCAUGCUCUAUACAAUGUAGAGAUGCACAGGUAGAUGCAGCGUUAUUGAGGAACUAAGGCGCAUACAUUUAGAGUAGUUACUGAAUAACUAAUAAGGAACAAAUGAGUAGUUAUCGAGGAACUAAGUCACAUAUAUUUAGAGUAGUUACUGAUUAGCUAAUUAAGAAUUAAUAAUGAACAAAUGAGUAGUUAUUGAGGAACGACGGAACAUACUUUUAGAGUAGUUACAGAUGAGCUAAUUAAGACUUAAUGAGGAAAAAAAUAGUAGUUAUUGAGGAACUAAGGCACAUACAUUUAGAGUGGUUACAAAGAACUAAUACGGAACAAAUGAGUAGUUAUCAAGGAACUAAGGCACAUAUAUUUCGAGUGGUUACUGAUUAGCUAAUUAAGAUUUAAUGAUGAACAAAUGAGUAGUUAUUGAGGAACUAAGGCGCAUACAUUUAGAGUAGUUACUGAAGAACUAAUACGGAACAAAUGAGUAGUUAUCGGGGAACUAAGGCCCAUAUAUGUAGCGUAGUUACUGAUUAGCUAAUUAAGAAUCAAUGAUGAACAAAUGAGUAGUUAUUGAGGAACGAUGGCACAUACUUUUAGAGUGGUUGCUGAAGAACUAAUUAAGACUUAAUGAGGAAAAAAUUGUAGUUAUUGAGGAACUAAGGUACAUACAUUUAGAGUAGUUACUGAAGAACUAAUACGGAACAAAUGAGUAGUUAUUGAGGAACGAUGGCACAUACUUUUUGAGUAGUUACUGAUGAGCUAAUUAAGACUUAAUGAGGAAAAAAUAGUUAUUGAGGAACUAAGGCACAUACAUUUAGAGUAGUUACUGAAGAACUAAUAAGGAACAAAUGAGUAGUUAUGGAGGAACUAAGGCACAUAUAUUUAGAGUGGUUGCUGAUUAGCUAAUUAAGAAUUAAUGAUGAACAAAUGAGUAGUUAUUGAGGAACGAUGGCACAUACUUUUAGAGUAGUUACUGAUGAGCUAAUUAAGAAUUAAUGAUGAACAAAUGAGUAGUUAUUGAGGAACUAUGGCACAUUCAGAGUAGUUACUGAAGAAGUAAUGAACUGAUGGGUAGAGUAGUUACUGGGGAACUAAGGCACAUACACCGAGAGUAGUGACUGAGGAACUAAUAAAGAAUUAAUGAGGAACUAAUGAAUAAUUACUGAGGAACUAAGGCACAUACAUCUGGAGUAGUUACUGAGAAACUAAUAAACUACUGAGGAACUAAUGAAUAGUUACUGAGAAACUAAAGUACACAAUUUCAGAGUAGUUACUGAGGAACUAGUAAAGAAAUAAUGAUAAGCUAAUGAAUGGUUUCUGAGGAACUAAGGCACAUACAUUUAGAGUAGUUACCGACGAACUAAUGAGGAGUUAGUACGUUAUGGUCGGAAGAACCACUUUGGGAUGAAGCCUACCUUCGUGGUUGAUUCCCCACCAUUUGUUUCAAAUCACCAACACUUUGACUUUCAGGAAACUCAAGUGGCACUCACUUGAUCUGAGUGGAAACCUGGUCCAUGGUUCUCUUCAGGAGAGCCUGGACACUCUUGAUCAAGUCCACUUCCUACUCAAAUACACAAAUGGUUAUGACGGUGGAACCCGCUUAUCUCCACCUCCCCUCGGAUUGGCUGGGGUACUAUUUCAAAGUACCCACACAGAAGCAUAUCUAAUCAAUAAAUAUAAUGUUUGGAAAGUUUAACUUGCAAUCUUCAACCAACACAUCCUUUUCACCUUGAGCAGUUCCUCCUCCACACAGUCCAGGACCAGGUCAGGCCCCAGUCUCCGGCUCCUGCAGGUCAGAUUAUCAUUAGCGAUGGCAUACGGAGUCUCCGUGGCGUCCAGCGCCUUCUCCAGCCGCAUUUUCAUCCCCUGCAGGGCCGCCGUGUCGGCCACCAGGCGGCGGAUGUGCUCCUGCAGCUCGGACUUCCAGCGAUGGAUGUCCUGGAGCCUUUCCCCCAGCAGGCGCGUCCCGUUGAUCUGGUUGCGGACCGUGGUGGUCUCUGUCUUCUCGCAGAGGAUCCGAGAGUCCUCUUGGAUGGUCUGAGCCGAGAGAUGGUCGGAGCCGGCCUGCUGAAGGAGGCUGCGGUAGCUGGAGAACCACUCGGCUGGGGUGUAUUUAGCGGAGCGGAAGCCUGCGGUAGCUAAGCCCGAGGAGGGCUGCGCGGCCUCCAGCUCUAGCGGGGCCCCUUCGUCCAGGGGCCCCGGAACCACCGCACUGCUGUCAUAUUGCGGCUUUGACACUAACACCUCCGAGCUCAUUCUCUUACAACGACAACUACAAACAAUUGAGAUACAAAUGAUAGUAAGAGCUAAGUAAGUGCCUACUUGUCCGAUAGAUGAGAGUUUGUUGACGUGUUGCCUAGAUACAGGAGCACUCAGGGGGAUCGAACUCAAGACAAGCAUGUUCGAAAUCAUUUACAUAUUACACUGAAACAUAUGAUGUGUUCUAACCUGAUGGGCCUUUCCUUUUGUUUGCCGGUGGCCAUUAUUUCACUAUGCAGUGUGCAUAAAUAAUAAUAAAAAAAGGACAAAAUAGCAAGAUACCUCUUAUUUAUAUUUGCUAUGAACGACGUAACAUGUUGCACACCAAUUUUUCCGCUUUAAUACGACAUCACACAAUGUCUUUAAAUCACAGCGCCUCCCUUUAGAACCCACUUAACAUGCGUGUAAUGUGCAACAUUCAUCAUUUAUACGUAUGCUAUUUUUUUAUAACUUGGUCAAUUCAAGCAAAGCAAUUUACGCAGACACCACUAGAGGGCGACAAUAGCACUUCUAUUACACUUCUCAUUUAUAUUUGCUAUGAACGACGUAAACAUGUUGCACACCAACUUUUCCGCCUUAUAACGACAUCACACAACUAAAUAUAUGUAUUUGAAGCACAGCGAUUCCCUUUAGAACCCACUUAACAUGCGUGUAAUGUGCAAUAUUCAUUAUUUAUACA